GCCCGCAUAGAGUAAUAGUAACUCGUUGGACUCCUAUCCUGGGUAGGGGAAAGCCAAGGAUCCCGGUGCAAGUCCGGGUGCGGGUG
rfam:Purpureocillium lilacinum isolate PLFJ-1 scaffold00001, whole genome shotgun sequence.